GAUGAACGCUGACAGAAUGCUUAACACAUGCAAGUCUACUUGAACUUCGGUUUGUGUGGCGGACGGGUGAGUAACGCGUAAAGAACUUGCCUCACAGUUAGGGACAACAUUUGGAAACGAAUGCUAAUACCUGAUAUUAUGAUUUUAGGGCAUCCUAGGAUUAUGAAAGCUAUAUGUGCUGUGAGAGAGCUUUGCGUCCCAUUAGCUAGUUGGAGAGGUAACGUCUCACCAAGGCGAUGAUGGGUAGCCGGCCUGAGAGGGUGAACGGCCACAAGGGGACUGAGACACGGCCCUUACUCAUACGGGAGGAAGGAGUGGGGAAUAUUGGAAAAAGGACCAAAAGUCUGAUCAAGAAAUGAUGUGUGCAAGAUGACGUUUUUCGGAAUGUAAAGUGCUUUCAGUUGGGAAGAAAAAAAUGACGGUAACAACAGAAGAAGAGACGGCUAAAUACGUG
rnacentral:rRNA from 1 species